CCUGGAACUCACUUUGUAGAUCAGGCUGGCCUCGAACUCACAGAGAUCCGCCUGCCUCUGCCUCCUGAGUGCUGGGAU
rnacentral:miRNA from 1 species